CCUGGACAUAAGCCUCUACAAGGAGGUGACCGACUCCAGAACUGCCCAGAUUAUGUUUCAAGCUUACGGUGACAAGCAAGGGCCACUACAUGGGAUGCUGAUCAACACUCCAUAUGUGACAAAGGACUUACUGCAGUCCAAGAGGUUCCAGGCGCAAUCGUUGGGGACGACGUACGUCUAUGACAUCCCUGAAAUGUUUCGACAGUCUCUGAUCAAC